GCUGGGUGCCUUUGCAUUCACCUAUAGUCCCAGUUAUUCUGGAGGCUGAUGCAAGAGGACUGCUUAAGCCCAUGUGUUCAGGGCUGCUGUGUCCUAUGCUAAUCAAGUGUCUGCACUAUAUUUAGCAUCAAUAUGGUGACCUUCCAGGAGUGGGGGGCCACUAGGUUGCAUGUGCUCAUCAAGUGGGAUCAAGCCUGUGAACAGCCAGUGCACCCAGCCUGGGCAAUACAGUGAGACCCUU
ensembl:misc_RNA Metazoa_SRP Metazoan signal recognition particle RNA